AUCGUACCUUCAAGGAAGUGAAACAAGAAAACAGUUGAUUAUUGGUUUUUAUUGGACAUGAAAAAGGUCUUACUUGCUUAAUCAAAUUAUUAGGUUAUGAAAACUUACUUAUCUUCAUUAUAAUAGUUUUAGAGAGUGUAUUUGUAACAUCAUAAAUCGCAAGGCAUAUAUAAUGUAAUAUCAGGGUGUUUGGAAGGUGAGUAGCCAAACGGAAAUGGUGAAUAGGUGAGGUUACUGGCUAUUUAAAACGUAUAGUGUCUUUUUGUUUUGCCUCAAAUUUAAGGAGUAAUAUAGUUUUUUUUUAGUAUUUUAUUAGAUUUUCCCCGUUUUUUCACUUUAACCUUCAAUUUUUUUUUAAUUUUUGGCCAAAAGGACGCACAAUUAAUUUCAUUUUAUAGACUAAUGUUGUCUCAUUCAGAUUUAGGUAAUAACUGAGGAAAAUAUUUAAAGAGAAACUAAUAGCGAAGUAACAAACUUCCUAAAAUCAAUAGAAAAAAAAUGUUACGUCAACUUUACAAUGGAAAAAAUAAUAAUAAAAAAAAGUUGUGAUGUUUUAAAAUGUAUUAAAAAACUUCUUUAGUUAAUAGUAAUACUUUCUAACGAUAUGCCACAUGUAACCACAAUAAUUAGGUAACUUACGAAAAACAAAUAAGUUUGUCUUCAAGGACGCGUGAACCAAUUUCUUAAAAGCAACCUAAUUGAGCAGGUAUAAACUUACAUAUCGCUCAACGGCGGCAAGAAUGGCCCAUCUCAAAAAUUGCCUAAAUCGGACUAAACACUAUAUUAAAACAUAAAAUUAAUAUUCUUUAUUUUGUCAAGACCGGCAUAAAAUUAGUAUUUUAGUUUUCCGCCAGAUGGCAGAAGGGUCACUAAAGCAUCAUCUUAAAUCAUGCCUCCUAGCCACGGCAACAGUGGCACCAUAUUAGUAUUCCAUAAACCUUGCUAGGGAAUCUAUCGCUGUUAGCGGGCAAUGGUGACACUUUUCUUGUUGUGCCUGUAUAGUGCAAACUUAUUAAUUUCAUUUUAUAUUUGUGCUAAUGCAAUAGUGACACAUUUUGAAUUGUGCCAAUAUAGACCAUACGCCUUAUUUAAUUUUAUUUGAUUUGUGCCAGUAUAGAGCAAACAUUUUUUGUGUUUUUUUUAAAAAUUAAACAAGUAAAUAAUUCUGUUGGUUUUGUAUUUUGUUUCGUCUCUGCUAAAACAAUAGGGUUUAAUAUGAGCAAUUUGGAAGGCACCCGAGGCAAGAAAAUGUUAUUACUAGUAGGAGUCAGGUUGGAGAAAGUUAGUGACAAUGGAGGCGAUUCUCAAUGGAAAGUGUGUAAUGCAAGUUCAGUUGUGAAUUCCGAUAUUCACUAUGAGAUUUAUGACUUUGAAACUUCAGAUAAUAACACCUUAGAGAAGCCCUCGGAGCAGCCGUUGAUCAUAGAUUACUUCGAAAAUGAACAGAUAGCACAAAAGAUUGAGGUAUCGUCAUCAACAGAAAAAAUACUGUGUGAAGAACCGGAGCCGGAAAUAUCUAAUACAGUUUUCACAGACCUCACACUAACUUAAAUUCUGAAGCUUUAGGUUUCUUACCCGAUGGCGAUGAACACCUGCAGAAUAGGGAAGUAUUAGAGAUCCUCUCACAGUCCAGUUAUUUAUUUAUUUAUUUAUUACAAGUUCAGGUUGCGAACAGUACACAAGUACCAAAAAAGCAUCCACUGUGUAUAUAUAACAAACUUAUGAUAGGUUUACCAAACAUUGUCUUAAAUUUACAUGUUACGUGUGUAGAUACAAAAAAAAAAAUACAAUCAAAAAGAAAAGGGAAAUUUAGAUGAAUACACUAAUGAGAUU